AAGGAAGAGGUUUGAACCAUGAAGAGGUGUGUCCAUAUGUUGACAGCUUUAGCAGCUCUCUGAGUCAGAAGAUUGCUUAAUCUGGCACAAAAGAAAGGAUUUUCUUCUUUCUUCUUUCCCCACCCCUCCAUUUUAAAGUUCCUCAAACUGACAUUUCAUUGGCAGCGAAGGCAAAACCUGAAAGGACAUUUGCUGGCUCACAGCUGAGGGCAGAGCCAGCAGGAGGGGCUAAAAGCCCUUGUCCCCAUCCGUACUUGGGGCAUUGCUCUUUCGGGUCUCUUAGGCACCCAACCUAAAUGCUUGCAUGCCCUGUUGCCCUGGGUAGGGGCCAGGCUUUUGGAGAGAGGAGGCAAGCUGGUUAAUGAUAAGCCUGCCUUCUGAAAAGAAGCCAGGAGUUGGAAGCUUUCAUUUAUGGGUGUGCUCAAAGACAUCUAAGCCCACCCCCCAAAAAACCCUCUUUGUCACUCCAGAGGUGAUCGUCUGGCCUCUUGGCUCUCAGCAGUCUCUGUGUACCCUCAUCCGAGUGGAGCGCCCACUCACGAGCCGCUGGGGAUCUCUGAUAAAUCAGGAACAUGGGGCAAAGACGCGGCAAGAAGAGAGGAGUGUCUGCUUCCUGGCAGGGCUGUCUUCACCAAGAGCAAAUAAGGGCAAAGCACAGGAAUAUUCCAAAGUCAUUCCUCAGUCAAUGGACAUCUACUUCAUUUCCAGAUCUUGGCUACCACAAGAAAAAAAUGCUACUAUGAACAUUUUGGUGGAUAUGGAACUUUUCUUUUCACCAAUGUCCUCCUUGGAGUUUUUAUGCAGAUAAGGAGACUGAGGUUUAACGCCC